rnacentral:rRNA from 1 species
GAUGAACGCUGGCGGCGUGCCUAAUACAUGCAAGUCGAGCGAACAGAUGAGGAGCUUGCUCCUCUGACGUUAGCGGCGGACGGGUGAGUAACACGUGGAUAACCUACCUAUAAGACUGGGAUAACUUCGGGAAACCGGAGCUAAUACCGGAUAAUAUAUUGAACCGCAUGGUUCAAUAGUGAAAGACGGUUUUGCUGUCACUUAUAGAUGGAUCCGCGCCGCAUUAGCUAGUAGGUAAGGUAACGGCUUACCAAGGCAACGAUGCGUAGCCGACCUGAGAGGGUGAUCGGCCACACUGGAACUGAGACACGGUCCAGACUCCUACGGGAGGCAGAAGUAGGGAAUCUUCCGCAAUGGGCGAAAGCCUGACGGAGCAACGCCGCGUGAGUGAUGAAGGUCUUCGGAUCGUAAAACUCUGUUAUUAGGGAAGAACAAAUGUGUAAGUAACUAUGCACGUCUUGACGGUACCUAAUCAGAAAGCCACGGCUAACUACGUG